UACGUAGGGGGCAAGCGUUGUCCGGAUUUACUGGGCGUAAAGAGCGCGUAGGCGGCCAAACAGGUCCGUUGUGAAAACUGGAGGCUCAACUUCCAGACGUCGACGGAAACCGUGUGGCUAGAGUCCGGAAGAGGAGAGUGGAAUUCCUGGUGUAGCGGUGAAAUGCGCAGAUAUCAGGAAGAACACCAAUGGCGAAGGCGGCAUCCUGGACCGACACUGACACUGAGGAGCGAAAGCCAGGGGAGCAAACGGG
rnacentral:rRNA from 1 species